rnacentral:rRNA from 1 species
AUAACGAGCGCAACCCACGUCGUUAGUUGCCAACAGGUCAAGCUGGGAACUCUAACGAGACUGCCGGUGUAAACCGCGAGGAAGGUGUGGAUGACGUCAAAUCAGCACGGCCCUUACAUCCAGGGCUACACACGUGUUACAAUGGUCGGUACAGAGGGCAGCUACCAGGCAACUGGAUGCGAAUCUCAAAAACCGGUCUCAGUUCGGAUUGGAGCCUGCAACCCGACUCCAUGAAGCUGGAUUCGCUAGUAAUCGCGCAUCAGCCAUGGCGCGGUGAAUACGUUCCCGGGCCUU